AUUGAACGCUGGCGGCAGGCCUAACACAUGCAAGUCGAGCGGAUGAAGGGAGCUUGCUCCUGGAUUCAGCGGCGGACGGGUGAGUAAUGCCUAGGAAUCUGCCUGGUAGUGGGGGAUAACGUCCGGAAACGGGCGCUAAUACCGCAUACGUCCUGAGGGAGAAAGUGGGGGAGCUUCGGACCUCACGCUAUCAGAUGAGCCUAGGUCGGAGUAGCUAGUUGGUGGGGUAGAGGCCUACCAAGGCGACGAUCCGUAACUGGUCUGAGAGGAUGGUCAGUCACACUGGAGCUGAGACACGGUCCAGGCUCCUACGGGAGGCAGCAGUGGGGAAUAUUGGACAAUGGGCGAAAGCCUGGUCCAGCCAUGCCGCGUGUGUGAAGACGGUCUUCGGAUUGUAAAGCACUUUAAGUUGGGAGGAAGGGCAGUAAGUUAAUACCUUGCUGUUUUGACGUUACCAACAGAAUAAGCACCGGCUAACUUCGUG
rnacentral:rRNA from 1 species